AAAAAAGCAGAAGAAGGCGCUUUUUAUUUAGCCAGUGUGACCCCGCCAGGGCCUUCUCGGUUGGGUGAGCACUCUCUCUGACCAGGCCAUGAAAAGAAAAAUCUGUGCGAUGCCUCCCCACAUGUCACGGGACUCUGACUUGCCUUUGUCGUCAGAGUUUGCAGAACUUUGGGGGACCUGAGAGGGGAGUGCCCCCUGGACGGGCCACGGCUGUCUGUGGCUUAAGGGCUUUUGGAAGGGCGGAGAGAGGGAAACGGCGUCCUAGUGGCCUGCUUCAGGGCCACCCACGGGCCCUCCCCCAACCUCUCUCUGAUCCAACUUGUUUUUCCAGCCUAGUUGGAAACUUGUGGAUGCUGUGACCUCAAGAAGACUUGGCAUUUUAUUUGGAAGAUAGACAUCUAUUUGCAACUGUCCUGAGCCCCUAUUUUCCUCCCACCUUUCUUGGGGAAACUUGUUUUUAAGGGAUGCCACUGUUUUUGUAACAUGUUGCUCCUAGCUCUUAGCAUUCAUGGUACUGUUGUAACCGUCCAGUGGGUUCACUUUGUCUGCUAGAUAGAGCCGAUUUAUCAAGACGGGGAUUACAAUGGAGAAAGAGUAAUUCACGCAGAGCCGGCUUUGCAGAUAAAACUCUGCAAAGACAAUGUCUAGCACUUAUAUCUCCAGUAACUCCUGUCAAGGUUUAUUGUUGCUUGUUCAUCAUUGCAGUCCUGACUACAAGUGUGAUUGCACUUUCUAUUGUUUUGUCAGAAUUUCCUGAAAAGAUACAAAGGCCCUUCUGACCAUUGGAUUGGCCUUAGAAGAGAAUCAUCCCAUCGCAUUUGGAAAUGGACAGACAACAUGGAAUAUAAUAACAUUUUUCACACAUUUACAAAACAAUUUGGGAGGAGGCUGGAAAUCAUCUUGACUGAAGACCACCAAUGGCAGCAGUUCAUUUGGGCUUGCUAUCAGAGGAAGUGGAGAAUGUGCCUUCCUGAAUGACAAUGGAGUCAACAGUGGCAGAAUCUACAUGAACAGAAAAUGGAUUUGUAGCAAGCCAAACAAUUAUGUCUACAGUUGCCAGUUAUGUCCCCACUGGGAUACUACCUAGUAGAGCUGUGAGAAGAGGGCCACCAUCCUCCAGACUCCAGAAUGGUGGAAUCAGCAGCAGCUUCCACCAUGCCCCUGGAAAAACUGCAAGUAACAGACCUGCACAUGUAUCCCCUACAUCU
rnacentral:lncRNA from 10 species